AGCUUGCUAUCUUGAGACCGGCGCACGGGUGAGUAACGCGUAUGCAAUCUACCUUAUACAGGGGAAUAGCCCAGAGAAAUUUGGAUUAAUGCCCCAUGGUUUAUUGAGAUGGCAUCAUUUUAAUAAUAAAGAUUUAUCGGUAUAAGAUGAGCAUGCGUAUCAUUAGCUAGUUGGUGUGGUAACGGCAUACCAAGGCGACGAUGAUUAGGGGUCCUGAGAGGGAGAUCCCCCACACUGGUACUGAGACACGGACCAGACUCCUACGGGAGGCAGCAGUGAGGAAUAUUGGUCAAUGGAGGCAACUCUGAACCAGCCAUGCCGCGUGCAGGAUGACGGUCCUAUGGAUUGUAAACUGCUUUUGUACAGGAAGAAACAUUACUACGUGUAGUAACUUGACGGUACUGUAAGAAUAAGGAUCGGCUAACUCCGUGCCAGCAGCCGCGGUAAUACGGAGGAUCCGAGCGUUAUCCGGAAUUAUUGGGUUUAAAGGGUUCGUAGGCGGUUAGAUAAGUCAGUGGUGAAAUUUCCUAGCUUAACUAGGGCACUGCCAUUGAUACUGUUUAACUUGAAUAGUAUGGAAGUAACUAGAAUAUGUAGUGUAGCGGUGAAAUGCUUAGAUAUUACAUGGAAUACCAAUUGCGAAGGCAGGUUACUACGUACUUAUUGACGCUGAUGAACGAAAGCGUGGGGAGCGAACAGGAUUAGAUACCCUGGUAGUCCACGCCGUAAACGAUGGAUACUAGCUGUUCGGUCUUCGGAUUGAGUGGCUAAGCGAAAGUGAUAAGUAUCCCACCUGGGGAGUACGUUCGCAAGAAUGAAACUCAAAGGAAUUGACGGGGGCCCGCACAAGCGGUGGAGCAUGUGGUUUAAUUCGAUGAUACGCGAGGAACCUUACCAGGGCUUAAAUGUAGAUUGACAGAUUUGGAAACAGAUUUUUCUUCGGACAAUUUACAAGGUGCUGCAUGGUUGUCGUCAGCUCGUGCCGUGAGGUGUCAGGUUAAGUCCUAUAACGAGCGCAACCCCUAUUGUUAGUUGCCAGCGAGUAAUGUCGGGAACUCUAGCAAGACUGCCGGUGCAAACCGUGAGGAAGGUGGGGAUGACGUCAAAUCAUCACGGCCCUUACGUCCUGGGCUACACACGUGCUACAAUGGCAAGUACAGAAAGCAGCUACCUGGCAACAGGAUGCGAAUCUCCAAAGCUUGUCUCAGUUCGGAUUGGAGUCUGCAACUCGACUCUAUGAAGCUGGAAUCGCUAGUAAUCGGAUAUCAGCCAUGAUCCGGUGAAUACGUUCCCGGGCCUUGUACACACCGCCCGUCAAGCCAU
rnacentral:rRNA from 1 species